UGGCGUCCUUCGCUCGCCGUGCUACGAGCAUCGCUCGGAUUCCAACUCAAGCUGCCUCUAUCGCUCAGCGCCGUGGUCUCUCCGGCGCCUCCGGUCAGCAUGGGCCUCCCAAGGUUAACUUCUGGCAAGAGCCCAUGAAGCCUGCUCAGUGGAAAGAGGGGCGCGUACGCAUCUCAUUCUCCUUGCACUUGUCGUGAGUUGUGGUGUGCAGCUUGUGCUUGUUUCUUUGACCAGUUGGGGCUUGCUCUUCUACGGUGGAUACAAGCUCCUCACCGGAGGCAAAGGCAAGGACGAGAUCAGGAUAGUAACGAUUUCUGUUAGGUUGUAAUUGCUAUUCAGGUUUUCAUUUCUGAUCUCACGGUAUAAUAUGUAUAGGUGAUGGCUCUUCUUUUCCUCUCCACAAGUCUUCUUUCAUCUCUGCUUAGCUCCAUCAUCAACCUUUUGGUUGUUUGGAACAAACAAUAUGCAUUGCUUUUUCGAGUUGUGAGCCCCCAACAGACAUGCUUAUAUGGAUUAA